CCAGAUAAUAGUUAAAUAGGAAACAGCUGUGUAUGUUUAGUCAUGCUGCAUCUGAAGCGGAGUAUGGGGUAUAAAUGACUUACAGAAAGACGGUCAGGAGGAGAGACCGGAAAGCAUUGCGUAGUUUGAGCCCACAGCCCAUGGAACUACAGAGAAGCGUGUGAGAGAGACGGAAUCUAGUAAAUGACCGUGUGAAGAGAGACUGCCGUGGAAGCUUUAUAUUCAGAGCAAGGCAGGCGGUGGUGGAUUCAGGCUGUGGGUUGGAGUGGGAGGAGCGCGAUCUGACCUUUUCAGCUGCCGACCGCGUCCAUUGGAUAUUCAGAGCAACCUCAAGAGAAAUACAGUGACAACACUGGUGUGAGAUCGGGAUUGAGACAAAGCAGCAGCAAUCAUCAGAAAGACGGCACUGUAUCUAAUAUAAACACUUGACAUUGAGUACAUGUGUAUAUUGUCGGGCCAGGGCACUAAGACAACUGCAAUUUGGAUGUGCUUAAUAAGUAGUGAAAUUGGUUUGGGCACAUUACCAGAGAAUUACGUCAGGGGGCGCACCGUAUUUAGGAAUUGCAUAUUUUUGUAUUUCUGUUUUGAGAAGGACAAGAAAUAGUUCCAGGUUUUAAAAGAAGGUUGGAUAAUGUGUCUUUAGGAGGGUGGGCAGGUAGAUGUUGGAGCUGAACACUACUCUCUGGGUUUGGUAAAUGAAUGCUGAGGUGUGAUUAAGUACAUUAUAUUGUUGUUCUUAUGACAAAUGUGUUUAUUGGUGUUUUAGAGAUUCUAUUGGGUACUCACUGGAAUGGUAUUUAUUGAUUUAAUUUGAUUUAUUUAGCCUGGUUAGUUAUUGGGUAUGCUUACUUAUCUGUAUACUUAUGGAGUAUGGUGACUUUGUUGUUCACUGUAUGGUUGUUAGAUGCUGAAGCUGUAUGCAUUGAAUAAUUAUUUAUCAAUCUAUUUAGUAUUGAUAAUUAUUAAGCAGGGUUACUUGAUGUAUUGAGUGGUUACUUACUGGUGGACUUCUUAUACACUGAUUGAAUUGUGACUUUGGUUACUUUAUUACAGGGGUAUAGUGAACUACGGGGUGGUGGAACAGGGAGGAGAGCAACAAUAAACGGUGAUGAAUCCAAAUUAAAUCAUUGGGGGUUCUUAUAGUUAUGGCUGUACAUGCAAAAGCAUUUCUGUCUAUGGAAUAAAAACUGUUAUUUGUA